UACAGGGGGUGCAAACGUUGCUCGGAAUUAUUGGGCGUAAAGCGCGCGUAGGCGGCCGCUUAAGUCGGAUGUGAAAGCCCCUGGCUCAACUGGGGAAGUGCACCCGAAACUGAGUGGCUUGAGUACUAAAAGAGGGUCGCGGGAAUUCCCGGUGUAGAGGUGAAAUCGUAGAUAUCGGGAGGAACACCGGUGGCGAAGGCGGCGA
rnacentral:rRNA from 1 species